rnacentral:rRNA from 1 species
ACGAACGCUGGCGGCGUGCCUAAUACAUGCAAGUAGAACGCACAGUUUAUACCGUAGCUUGCUACACCAUAGACUGUGAGUUGCGAACGGGUGAGUAACGCGUAGGUAACCUGCCUGGUAGCGGGGGAUAACUAUUGGAAACGAUAGCUAAUACCGCAUAAUAUUAAUUAUUGCAUGAUAAUUAAUUGAAAGGUGCAAUUGCACCACUACCAGAUGGACCGGCGUUGUAUUAGCUAGUAGGUGAGGUAACGGCUCACCUAGGCGACGAUACAUAGCCGACCUGAGAGGGUGAUCGGCCACACUGGGACUGAGACACGGCCCAGACUCCUACGGGAGGCAGCAGUAGGGAAUCUUCGGCAAUGGACGAAAGUCUGACCGAGCAACGCCGCGUGAGUGAAGAAGGUUUUCGGAUCGUAAAGCUCUGUUGUAAGAGAAGAACGGGUGUGAGAGUGGAAAGUUCACACUGUGACGGUAUCUUACCAGAAAGGGACGGCUAACUACGUG